CUUCCCAAAGUGCUGCAGUUACAGGUAUGAGCCACCAUGCCCAGUCUAUAGCUUAACAGUUUCUAAUAUUUAUAGUAUUUGUGGGAUGAAUCUAUAGAAUAUUGUUUCUGUUGACAGUGCUUAUGGUGGCUUAUGCUCAUGUCUUUGGUGAUUUCUAAUUUUGAGGUCAUAUUCCUUGGAAUUUGUGGUUUGGGCUUAGAGUUCCUUCCUCUUUAAAAGAAGGACAUAUGUUUGCUUCUGCCAUGGGGCACUAGUGACCUGGGACAACUUGUAACCAAAAUUUCAAUUUAGAUUUUUUAAAGUCACAAAAGUAGUGUGAAUCCUAGCCUUAAAUCUGUGUGAGUAUAGACUUUUGAUGAGGAGUUAUCUGAAGCAGACUUCUUUUUAGUUGUUCUAUUCACAUCCAAGGCUAAGAUAUCCUUAUUGCCUCUUUCUGUGGGACAACUUUUGCACUCAUUGAAAGAGUUGCCCUUCCAAGACCAUAGCUCUAUUCAGGGGGCUUGAAUCCAACCGUUUCUUGUUCAGACUCUACCCAAGACUUGUCUCCUGACCCUGUAUGUGUGACCCUUUAAACUUCAGGCUAUAGGUCAUUAGGAAUGAUAGGUUAUUAGGAAUUAGCACGUAUCCCACUAGAUUUAUCCUUCCUUCUUGUUUUGGGAAUCAGAAGAAUUUCCUUCCUUUUCACACCAGUUUAGCCAUCCCAUACAAAAAUAUGUUAUUAAAGGCUUAUUCAGAUUUUUUAAGUGUGCUAUACCAAUAAGAUUUAUCUGAACAUCUAGUCAGCCAUAAUGCUAAAAAUGAAAAUUGAAUUUCUUACUAUAUUAACUAAGACCUCUAAAACACUUAUAAUAGUUGUAAUAGCCAUUAUUUCUCGUUUGUCCCUAAUACCACAUCUUUGAUAUUUCACUAUUUAAUAUGUUCAGUUAGGUUUUAUUUAGUGGUCUUUAUCAUAUUUAAGUAGUUUCCUCUUUCUAUUUUACUUGAAAUGGCUGUUGAAGUAUAUCAAAUGUUAUUUGGUAUCUACUGAUAUGUUAAUUCAGUUUUGCUCUUGAAAUUUACAUAUGCACUCAACCACUUUCAAAAAGACUGAUAAUAUAUAAACAGAGAAAAUUCAAGCUGUGAAAACUGUCUCCUCUCCAUGGCAGUCCCAAGUUCCCUAGUCCCAUUCCAUAGAGACUAUUACCAGAAAUAUUCAAUGCACACACAAACAUUGUAUGUGUCCCUUGACACACACACAUAGUCAUUCUCUACCAUGCUUUUUUCUACGUAGUAAGACAUUUGAGAGCUUCUCUAUUAUUUAUAAAGAAAAAUAAUAAAAAAAACUUUCAUCUAGCUUUUGAGUUUCUGAGAUGAGAAAAUGCCUCUUUCAGUUUAAGAAUAGCAGCAUAUGGGCUGCGUCGGGCUGCAGGAGAAGAUGGUGGUCUCCACAGGAGUUAAAGUUCCUCGUAAUUUUCGCUUGUUGGAAGAACUUGAAGAAGGACAAAAAAGAGUAGGCAAUGGUACGGUUAGCUGGGGCCUUGAAGAUGAUGAAGAUAUGACACUUACAAGGUGGACAGGCAUGAUUAUUGGGCCACCAAGGACAAAUUAUGAAAACAGAAUAUAUAGCCUGAAAGUAGAAUGGGGACCUAAAUACCCAGAAGCUCCUCCUUCAGUUAGAUUUGUAACAAAAAUUAAUAUGAAUGGAAUAAAUAAUUCCAGUGGGAUGGUGGAUGCCCGGAGCAUACCAGUGUUAGCAAAAUGGCAAAAUUCAUAUAGCAUUAAAGUUGUACUUCAAGAGCUAAGAUGUCUAAUGAUGUCCAAAGAAAAUAUGAAGCUCCCACAGCCACCAGAAGGACAAACAUACAACAAUUAAUUUUAGUGGAUCUCAAACUUGUCUUAAAUCAACAAUCUUCUACUCAUGUUAAUGUUUUGAUUCAAUAUCACAAUGAAAAAUACCCACACAUUAAGUAAAAGAAUUCCAGCUGGUAAACAUGACCUGGACAUCUGUAAGAAUAUAUUUAAUACAUGUACACCCAUUAUGUUUUCAGGUAACAGGAGGAAAAAUGCAGCACAAUUUUUUUUCUCUUGUUAAGGCACUGUCAUUUAAACAUAAACCUGGAGUACUCGAAAUAUAAUUCAGGUUUACAAGAUGAAAGCGUGUGGAGAAGUGUCAGAUGGCAGUGGAAGCAUGUGUGUUUCUAAAAAGUGAAAAUCUCAAGAAAGAAAACAGAAAUGGCAUGCUUUACCCAUCUUGCUUAGUGAAAGAGAGCUGCAGUUGAAAUUGUUUAAAAACUAGCAGGUACAACGAAUAUUGUCACAGAUGUGUUAAUUUUUGAAGCGGUGUGGGUGUUGACUACUAGUAGUAUCAAAAAUAUGUUCAGGAUUGUUUUGAUACCUGUAUUUAUAAUAAAAAAUGUUGGGGGGAGUUGAUGAAUUUCUGUUAAAAGCUGUUCUUGUGUGUUACAUGUAACAGACAUGGUAAAUAUUUGUUUACAGUCUUUGUUUAACCAUGCAUUUAAGUUUAAGUGAAGUAACC